rnacentral:rRNA from 1 species
GACGAAGGAUGCAAGCGUUAUCCGGAUUCAUUGGGUUUAAAGGGAGCGUAGGUGGCCUUAUAAGUCAGUGGUGAAAUCUCUCGGCUUAACCGAGAAAUUGCCAUUGAUACUGUAGGGCUUGAGUAUAGUUGCCGUUGGCGGAAUAUGACAUGUAGUGGUGAAAUACAUAGAGAUGUCAUAGAACACCGAUUGCGAAGGCAGCUAACGAAACUAUAACUGAUACUGAGGCUCGAAAGUGCGGGGAUCAAACAGG